rnacentral:rRNA from 1 species
UGNCAGACGGGUGAGUAAUGUAUAGGAAUCUACCUAGUAGUACGGAAUAAUUGUUGGAAACGGCAACUAAUACCGUAUACGCCCUACGGGGGAAAAAUUUAUUGCUAUUAGAUGAGCCUAUAUUAGAUUAGUUAGUUGGUGAGGUAAAGGCUUACCAAGACAAUGAUCUAUAGCUGAUCUGAGAGGAUGAUCAGCCACACUGGAACUGAGAUACGGUCCAGACUCCUACGGGAGGCA